rnacentral:rRNA from 1 species
UACAGGGGGUGCAAACGUUGCUCGGAAUUAUUGGGCGUAAAGCGCGCGUAGGCGGCUACCUAAGUCGGAUGUGAAAGCCCCUGGCUUAACCGGGGAAGUGCACCCGAAACUGGGUAGCUAGAGUGCAAAAGAGGGUCGCGGAAUUCCCAGUGUAGAGGUGAAAUUCGUAGAUAUUGGGAAGAACACCGAUGGCGAAGGCAGCCAUCUGGACCGACACUGACGCUGAGGCGCGAAAGCGUGGGGAGCAAACAGG